rnacentral:tmRNA from 1 species
GGGGCUGACUUGGAUUUCGACAGAUUUCUUGUCGCACAGACAGCAUGCCAAGUGCUGCUUGUAAAACAGCAACAAAAAUAACUGUAAACAACGCAGAUUACGCUCCAGCUUACGCUAAAGCUGCGUGAGUUAAUCUCCUUUUGGAGCUGGACUGAUUAGAAUUUCUAGCGUUUUAAUCACUCCAUAACCUUAAGCUAGACGCUUUUAAAAGGUGGUUCGCCUUUUAAACUAAGAAACAAGAACUCUUGAAACUACCUCAAGGUUUUAGAAAGUUGGACCAGAGCUAGUUUUAAGGCUAAAAACUAACCAAUUUUCUAAGCAUUGUAGAAGUUUGUGUUUAGGGCAAGAUUUUUGGACUGGGGUUCGAUUCCCCACAGCUCCACCA